UUUUUUUUUGGUUUUGUUUUUUGGACGUGGAUUGGAAAGGA
rnacentral:sRNA from 1 species